rfam:Nematostella vectensis strain CH2 x CH6 NEMVEscaffold_3306_Cont44830, whole genome shotgun sequence.
GGCCCGAUGGUCCAGAGGCAUGAUUCUUGCUUAGGGUGCGAGAGGUCCCGGGUUCAAUUCCCGGUCGGGCCC